UUAAAUUAUUAGUGAUUGCAACCCCUGAGGCUCUCAGAGAGAUUUUUUUGUUUCAUUGUUUUUCUAAUGAAUAAAGGAUAAAAAAUAUCUCUAUGCCUUGGUUCUUUGAAUUGCUAACUAGAUAUACGGUAAUAAGGUACUUCACUAUCGUUCACAGUGGAAGGGAAAGAGAGAAUGAUUAGAGGCUAUUGAGAUGGAAGCCACUGUUCGUGGAAAAGUUGAUUCUCAUCAGGCAAGUCAUGGGUUUGAAGAAGAUUUUGGGAGGGGAAGAGAAAAUAAUGGUAUUUGCGGGGGCCACACCUGCGCUGUUGCUAUGUGAAUUUGCAUAAGCUUGCAAGGGAAGCUUAUUUUCUCAGCUAGAAAACAAAACACAUCAUACAUAGUUGAGUCUGUCUCCAGGACCAGCGUGCCUUCCAUCCAGGCGCCCAUCCAUGCAUCCAUGCACCCAGCAUUUUUUCAGGUUCUUUAUCUCAACUGACUGUCACAACUCGGGGGUGAGAGUCUAGGGCAGAUGGAAGGAAGUGAGGUUAAAGGAGUGCUGAGGCCAUGCUGAAAGUGCUGUCGGGUCUGACAGUGAUGAUGAUAAUGGUGGUGGUAAUGAUUAAGGUAUUUCAUAUGCAUGUGGUGCUUUGCAACCUACAAGAUGUUACCACGUGCAUUUUCUCAUAACAAAACUAGGAGACUUGCCUGCAGUAACAUAUGGCCCACUGAGUUGGGAGGGAGAAAACCUUAGAUCUUAGACUUGCUCAGGUAUGAUGUGUAAAUCCAUGCACAAACAAGCAAAUGUAUUAUAUUGUCACCAGAAAAGCAUGGCAAAUUUUGCAUCAGAUUUGAGUGCCCAGGACUCUUGAAAUAUGGCCAUGCUAAUAGGGCUUGCCCUCAAUAACUUCACAUUUGAGUGGAAGGGGAGACCAUGUGUACCUAUAAUUUUAUGUAACCAGAAAGCAAAAUAUGCUGGGCGGGGUGGCUCAUGCCUCUAAUCCCAGCACUUUGGGGGACUGAGGUGCACAGAUCACUUGAGCCCGGGAGUUUGCGACCAACCAGGGCAAAAUGGUGAAACCCUAUCUCUACAAAAUAAACAAAAAUUAGCCAGGUUUGGUAGCAUGCACCUGUAAUCCCAGCUACUCAGCAGGCUAGGGUGGGAAGAUUGCUUGAGCCCCGGAAGUGGAUGUUGCAGUGAGCUGAGAUUAUGCCACUGCACUCCAGUCUGAGUGACAGAGUGAGACCCUGUCUCAAGAAAAGAAAGAAA